UACGGAGGGUGCAAGCGUUAAUCGGAAUUACUGGGCGUAAAGCGCGCGUAGGCGGCUUGUUAAGCCAGAUGUGAAAGCCCCGGGCUCAACCUGGGAACUGCAUUUGGAACUGGCAGGCUAGAGUACAGUAGAGGGUGGUGGAAUUUCCAGUGUAGCGGUGAAAUGCGUAGAGAUUGGAAGGAACAUCAGUGACGAAGGCGGCCACCUGGACUGAUACUGACGCUGAGGUGCGAAAGCGUGGGGAGCAAACAGG
rnacentral:misc_RNA from 1 species